rnacentral:lncRNA from 1 species
GGGAACGCUGCCUCUCUGCUCGGGACGUGGAUUCCUUUCCCCUCCUCCUCGCCUGGCUACUUCUGACGCAGGUCGUCAGGACUCCGCUUGGGUGUCACCCGUGCAGGAAGCCUCCCUUAGUCAAGGGCCCUCGGCACCCGCCCCAUAUGUGACUAGCAGCCCUCCUGUGUAUUUCAUCGCGCCCCCGUUGUUUAUAUCAGCCAUUCCACUCACCACCCUUCUGGGCAACCCUUUAUCUCCCGCUCUGAAAUCCCAUCGCUGAGGGCUGGGACCCCUCCUCAGUGCUUAUCCCUGUUUCCCCGCGCGAGUCUGGCGCCUGGCGUGUGGAAGGCGCUCAGUAAACGUUUGUGGAGCGAAGAAACGACGCAAAGGUGAUGAGCACGACGCAGUUAGGAGGCUAUUGGCCCGGCGCGG